CAAGUUACAAUUCAGAUUCGAUCCGAGCAAUUUAAAUUUAACUUAUUCAAAUUCAGUUUCUCAUGGCACAGAUUUCUGCCCAUAGUGGUCCUCCACACACUCCAGAGACAUAUGACGCGGCUGUUGCUGAUCUCCAGUCUGAAUCUAUCCAAGACGUAAGAGGAAUAAAGGUUGCAUUUCUUCUUCAGUGCAAGUAUGAGUGACUCAGAGCGAACCUUCCUAGAUGUCGCCAUCACGGAAGUCCUACCAGAACUUCAAGCUGUGAACAAAAACAUACUGGAAGAGCACUUGCAGUCCAUUGGAGUUGAGACAAGUGAUGAUCUAUGCUUCAUAAUGUAGCUUCUGCUCAGCGCUUUUGAAGAGAAGGAGGAGUCCAUGCUUUUCUGUGUUGAAGAUGCAUGUCUGGCAGAUGAGGUACAACUGGAGCAAGUGCCUCUGACACCCACUAUUAUUGUGUGUGGUGUUUCUUCUCCAUAAACCCAGAAAAGGAACCAAAGUACAGAACAAAAACUCAAAGCGUUGUCUCAGUGUGAACCCUCGAGUCCUCACCCCGAUUCAGGAUCUCGCUGACCACGAGUGGCGCUAAGCCUAAAUCUUGACUCUCUGUGGACUGUUGGUGUUACUUUGUUCCACAAUGUGUACAGAAACCUUUAACUGGUCGAAUGCAUGAAGCCAAUUCACCACGUAGUUUUCCUGAUGUGUUUUCUGACCAAGGCCAUGGUUGUGGUGACAGCAGGGUGCGUGUUGCAUUGCAUGGUGAUUAUGAUAAUUUUUGGCACAACAUGUGAUUUUUGUUUUAAAGUCUUAACAGGUUUAACUUUUUCUGGUAGAAGGUCUAACAAAUGCUUGUUUCAUGAAAGAUGGUUCUUGCUUUGCAGGAAUGCUCCACAGCUUUUAUAGCUUAUAUUUUGAUUGAAUUGUGUAGUUGCUGUGUGCCUUGCAUAUUGUGUUAGUUGGAAAAAAAAUGUAUCCAAUUGCUGUCAUUUGGCUAAUCUGGCUGUAAAAAUAAAUUUCCCAAAAGUGAUAUUUUCCUCUCUUGUGUUUUCUCAAGAUGUAUUUUUGCAUGUUUGGGUGUCGGCAUAGCAGUAUUAAAUUUCCUGGUUUAUGAUUAAAAUUUUACAUUAAAACAUUAUAAUAAAGCAUCGUAAUAGAUUUUAUGUAUGAUAUACAGAGCAGCUCGAUUUAAUAUGCACAGUUACACUGUUGUUCUACAAUUUUAAAUUAGUUUUUGUUUGACAUUUCCCUGUUAAUUUUACAAUUUAUGGAUCCACAAUAAGCAUUUAUUACUUGUAAAUGAUACAUGAAAUAGUCUAUUUAUAUAUAACAUCAAUGUGUGAAAUUAACUCCUUUUUUCUGUAGAUUUAACAGUUUUAAUGUGAAUUUCAUUCAGUGUAAAUCAAUUUAUAUAAUGCAUCUGUAAAGUGAUAUACUGUGCUGCUGUUUUUUUUUUUUUACAGGAAGUCCCUGGUGACCCCA